UGGGGAAUAUUGGACAAUGGGGGCAACCCUGAUCCAGCGAUGCCGCGUGUGUGAAGAAGGCCUGCGGGUUGUAAAGCACUUUAGUUGGGGAGGAAAGGUAUGUACUGCAUAAGUGCAUGCUGUGACGUUACCCAAAGAAUAAGCACCGGCUAACUCUGUGCCAGCAGCCGCGGUAAUACAGAGGGUGCGAGCGUUAAUCGGAUUUACUGGGCGUAAAGCGUGCGUAGGCGGCUUCUUAAGUCGGAUGUGAAAUCCCUGAGCUUAACUUAGGAAUUGCAUUCGAUACUGGGAAGCUAGAGUAUGGGAGAGGAUGGUAGAAUUCCAGGUGUAGCGGUGAAAUGCGUAGAGAUCUGGAGGAAUACCGAUGGCGAAGGCAGCCAUCUGGCCUAAUACUGACGCUGAGGUACGAAAGCAUGGGGAGCAAACAGGAUUAGAUACCCCAGUAGUCCCUGAGCGGGCUGGCAAGGCGCAU
rnacentral:rRNA from 1 species